rnacentral:rRNA from 1 species
AAAUUGAAGAGUUUGAUCAUGGCUCAGAUUGAACGCUGGCGGCAGGCCUAACACAUGCAAGUCGAGCGGUAGCACAGAGAGCUUGCUCUCGGGUGACGAGCGGCGGACGGGUGAGUAAUGUCUGGGAAACUGCCUGAUGGAGGGGGAUAACUACUGGAAACGGUAGCUAAUACCGCAUAAUGUCGCAAGACCAAAGUGGGGGACCUUCGGGCCUCAUGCCAUCAGAUGUGCCCAGAUGGGAUUAGCUAGUAGGUGGGGUAACGGCUCACCUAGGCGACGAUCCCUAGCUGGUCUGAGAGGAUGACCAGCCACACUGGAACUGAGACACGGUCCAGACUCCUACGGGAGGCAGCAGUGGGGAAUAUUGCACAAUGGGCGCAAGCCUGAUGCAGCCAUGCCGCGUGUGUGAAGAAGGCCUUCGGGUUGUAAAGCACUUUCAGCGGGGAGGAAGGCGGUGAGGUUAAUAACCUCACCGAUUGACGUUACCCGCAGAAGAAGCACCGGCUAACUCCGUGCCAGCAGCCGCGGUAAUACGGAGGGUGCAAGCGUUAAUCGGAAUUACUGGGCGUAAAGCGCACGCAGGCGGUCUGUCAAGUCGGAUGUGAAAUCCCCGGGCUCAACCUGGGAACUGCAUUCGAAACUGGCAGGCUAGAGUCUUGUAGAGGGGGGUAGAAUUCCAGGUGUAGCGGUGAAAUGCGUAGAGAUCUGGAGGAAUACCGGUGGCGAAGGCGGCCCCCUGGACAAAGACUGACGCUCAGGUGCGAAAGCGUGGGGAGCAAACAGGAUUAGAUACCCUGGUAGUCCACGCCGUAAACGAUGUCGAUUUGGAGGUUGUGCCCUUGAGGCGUGGCUUCCGGAGCUAACGCGUUAAAUCGACCGCCUGGGGAGUACGGCCGCAAGGUUAAAACUCAAAUGAAUUGACGGGGGCCCGCACAAGCGGUGGAGCAUGUGGUUUAAUUCGAUGCAACGCGAAGAACCUUACCUGGUCUUGACAUCCACAGAACUUUCCAGAGAUGGAUUGGUGCCUUCGGGAACUGUGAGACAGGUGCUGCAUGGCUGUCGUCAGCUCGUGUUGUGAAAUGUUGGGUUAAGUCCCGCAACGAGCGCAACCCUUAUCCUUUGUUGCCAGCGGU